UACGUAGGGGGCAAGCGUUGUCCGGAAUCAUUGGGCGUAAAGCGCGCGUAGGCGGCUCGAUCAGUCUGCUGUGAAAGUCAAAGGCUCAACCUUUGAAUGCCGGUGGAUACUGUCGAGCUAGAGUCCGGAAGAGGCGAGUGGAAUUCCUGGUGUAGCGGUGGAAUGCGCAGAUAUCAGGAGGAACACCAACGGCGAAGGCAGCUCGCUGGGACGGUACUGACGCUAAGGCGCGAAAGCGUGGGGAGCAAACAGG
rnacentral:rRNA from 1 species